ensembl:lncRNA EYA2-AS1 EYA2 antisense RNA 1
GAUUCUCCUCGGGGCUCCUUCCUCUCCGCUCCCUUCCCAACCAAGAAGGACACGCAGAACUUUGCUGGAGAGAUCAAUGUUUCUAGAACACCCUGAAACAAAAGUCCUGAUAUGUGCAAAUAAUACACACCCACAAAAGAAAAUAACCUCUUUGCGCUGACACCCUGCCUCUCCGAAGAGGACGUUUUCUCCCUACUUGGAAUUUCCAUCAGCACCUGGGUUGGUACCAAACUCAGGACGUGGUGGACACGCUCUCUGACUCUGUAUUUCAGGAAGCUGCCAAUCAAUAGAGAUUUAAAGCUUCUGACUUCCGCAUAUCCGAAUACCAGGUAGGAAACAUCUGCUUUGGAGUAAGAGAAGGCCCCAGUACCUGCUUUUUCUCCGGAACCGUGAGAGGGAGCCAUGGGGAGGAGACCAGAAUUU